CGGGACCCUGAGGUGUCCAGGAGGCCCCUCUUGGUUCUUCCCUUAGAGUCACUCUUGAAACGUGGACAGCAAGCGGUUUCUACAGGAUUAUGUCAUUUUUGGUGGAAAGGAUCAAAGAAGUGGAAGGUGGAAAAUCAAUGGAAAGAGUGGAGAGCGCUGAUGCGAAAAGAGCAAGAGCCAGACAAGAAUACCGGGAGAGAGAAGAACAAAGCUUUUCCCUCUCUGCUUCUGGAAUGUAAAUAUUAUCUCAGUUUGAAGAUAGAAGAGGGGCAAAGAACAACAGAUGCUUUCAUUCAACAGUACUUACCAAGUGGCCACUUUGAAUUAGGCCCAUAUGAAUCCAGUCAAAGCACCAUCAGGGGCUGCCAAAACUAGAAGAUCCCAGAUGUCCUGGUGCAGGAGGUGAAUAUCUUCUCAACUGAAGACAUGGAAACAACUUAAAUGUCCAUCGACAGAUGCAUGGAUUAAGAAGAUGUGGUAUAUACACACAAUGGAAUAGUACUCAGCCAUAAAAGAGAACAAAAUAAUGACACUUGCAGCAACAUAUAUGGAACUAGAGACUCUCAUACUUAAGUGAGGUAAGUCAGAAUGAGAAAGACAAAUACCAUAUGAUAUCACUUAUACAUGGAAUCUAAUAUAUGGUACAAAUGAACCUUUCUACAGGAAAAAAAACUCAUGGACAUAGAGAACAGACUUGUGGUUGCCAAGGAUGGGAGAAGGGAGUGGGAUAGACUGGGAAUCUGGGGUUAAUAGAUGUAAACUAUUGUCUUUGGAACAGAUAAGCAAUGAGAUCCUGCUGUAUAGCACUAGGAACUCUUACCUAGUCACUUAUGAUGGAUCAUGAUGGAGAAUAAUAUGAGAAAAAGAAUGUAUAUACGUGUGUAACUGGGUCACUUUGCUGUACAGUAGAAAAUUGACAGAACACUGUAAACCAGCUAUAAUGGAAAACAUAAAAAUCAUUAAAAAAAAAAAAAAAAAAAAGAUCAGACAUGUCAAGAGCUAACCAGAGUACAGCCCAGCAGUGUUAAGUCCCCGGAACCUCUGCAAACCUCAUCUGAAUGCACUACUAAUUUCAUUUCUUACCCUAGUGGUCUCUUCAGCCUUUCUCAAACUUUGCCUUACACUCUUCCCUUUGCUGACAGUGCGUUUCUUCUCACUCAACUACUGAAGGGAAAAAAAUCCGCC
rnacentral:lncRNA from 1 species